rnacentral:rRNA from 1 species
AUUGAACGCUGGCGGCAGGCCUAACACAUGCAAGUCGAGCGGAUGAAGGGAGCUUGCUCCUGGAUUCAGCGGCGGACGGGUGAGUAAUGCCUAGGAAUCUGCCUGGUAGUGGGGGAUAACGUCCGGAAACGGGCGCUAAUACCGCAUACGUCCUGAGGGAGAAAGUGGGGGAUCUUCGGACCUCACGCUAUCAGAUGAGCCUAGGUCGGAUUAGCUAGUUGGUGGGGUAAAGGCCUACGAAGGCGACGAUCCGUAACUGGUCUGAGAGGAUGAUCAGUCAAAUGGGAACUGAAAACGGGCCCAGGACCCAAGGGGGGGGGGAGUGGGGGAAUAUGAGAAAUGGGCCAAAAGCCUGAUCCAGAAAGGCGGGGGGGUUAAAGAAGUUCUUGGGUUGGUAAAGAACUUUAAUGGGGGAGGAGGGGCAGUAAGUUAAAUCCUUGCUGUUUGACCGUGCCAAACAGAAGGAGCACCGGUCAAUUUCGU